GCCCUCGUAGCUCAGAGGAUAGAGCACCGGCCUCCGGAGCCGGGUGCGCAGGUUCGAGUCCUGUCGAGGGCGCCA
rnacentral:tRNA from 1 species